rnacentral:rRNA from 1 species
CAGCAGCCACGGUAAUACGUAGGGUGCGAGCGUUAAUCGGAAUUACUGGGCGUAAAGCGUGCGCAGGCGGUUAUAUAAGUCAGAUGUGAAAUCCCCGGGCUCAACCUGGGAACUGCAUUUGAGACUGUAUGGCUAGAGUGUGUCAGAGGGGGGUAGAAUUCCACGUGUAGCAGUGAAAUGCGUAGAUAUGUGGAGGAAUACCGAUGGCGAAGGCAGCCCCCUGGGAUAACACUGACGCUCAUGCACGAAAGCGUGGGGAGCAAACAGGAUUAGAGACCCCAGUAGUCCCUGUCUCUUAUAA